AGAUUAAGUUAUUAAGGGCGAACGGUGGAUGCCUUGGCACUAGAAGCCGAUGAAGGACGUUACUAACGACGAUAUGCUUUGGGGAGCUGUAAGUAAGCUUUGAUCCAGAGAUUUCCGAAUGGGGAAACCCAGCAUGAGUUAUGUCAUGUUAUCGAUAUGUGAAUACAUAGCAUAUCAGAAGGCACACCCGGAGAACUGAAACAUCUUAGUACCCGGAGGAAGAGAAAGAAAAUUCGAUUCCCUUAGUAGCGGCGAGCGAAACGGGAAGAGCCCAAACCAACAAGCUUGCUUGUUGGGGUUGUAGGACACUCUAUACGG
rnacentral:rRNA from 1 species